CCUACGGGGGGCUGCAGUGGGGAAUAUUGGACAAUGGGGGCAACCCUGAUCCAGCCAUGCCGCGUGUGUGAAGAAGGCCCUCGGGUUGUAAAGCACUUUCAGUGAGGAAGAACGCCUGGUGGUUAAUACCCAUCAGGAAAGACAUCACUCACAGAAGAAGCACCGGCUAACUCCGUGCCAGCAGCCGCGGUAAUACGGAGGGUGCGAGCGUUAAUCGGAAUUACUGGGCGUAAAGCGCGCGUAGGUGGCUUGAUAAGCCGGUUGUGAAAGCCCCGGGCUCAACCUGGGAACGGCAUCCGGAACUGUCAAGCUAGAGUGCAGGAGAGGAAGGUAGAAUUCCCGGUGUAGCGGUGAAAUGCGUAGAGAUCGGGAGGAAUACCAGUGGCGAAGGCGGCCUUCUGGACUGACACUGACACUGAGGUGCGAAAGCGUGGGUAGCAAACAGGAUUAGAUACCCCGGUAGAC
rnacentral:rRNA from 1 species